rnacentral:rRNA from 1 species
UAAGCGACUAAGCGUACACGGUGGAUGCCCUGGCAGUCAGAGGCGAUGAAGGACGUGCUAAAUCUGCGAUAAGCGUCGGUAAGGUGAUAUGAACCGUUAUAACCGGCGAUUUCCGAAUGGGGAAACCCAGUGUGAUUCGUCACACUAUCAUUAACUGAAUCCAUAGGUUAAUGAGGCGAACCGGGGGAACUGAAACAUCUAAGUACCCCGAGGAAAAGAAAUCAACCGAGAUUCCCCCAGUAGCGGCGAGCGAACGGGGAGGAGCCCAGAGCCUGAAUCAGUGUGUGUGUUAGUGGAAGCGUCUGGAAAGGCGCGCGAUACAGGGUGACAGCCCCGUACACAAAAAUGCACAUACUGUGAGCUCGAUGAGUAGGGCGGGACACGUGGUAUCCUGUCUGAAUAUGGGGGGACCAUCCUCCAAGGCUAAAUACUCCUGACUGACCGAUAGUGAACCAGUACCGUGAGGGAAAGGCGAAAAGAACCCCGGCGAGGGGAGUGAAAAAGAACCUGAAACCGUGUACGUACAAGCAGUGGGAGCCUCUUUUAUGGGGUGACUGCGUACCUUUUGUAUAAUGGGUCAGCGACUUAUAUUCUGUAGCAAGGUUAACCGAAUAGGGGAGCCGAAGGGAAACCGAGUCUUAACCGGGCGUUAAGUUGCAGGGUAUAGACCCGAAACCCGGUGAUCUAGCCAUGGGCAGGUUGAAGGUUGGGUAACACUAACUGGAGGACCGAACCGACUAAUGUUGAAAAAUUAGCGGAUGACUUGUGGCUGGGGGUGAAAGGCCAAUCAAACCGGGAGAUAGCUGGUUCUCCCCGAAAGCUAUUUAGGUAGCGCCUCGUGAAUUCAUCUCCGGGGGUAGAGCACUGUUUCGGCAAGGGGGUCAUCCCGACUUACCAACCCGAUGCAAACUGCGAAUACCGGAGAAUGUUAUCACGGGAGACACACGGCGGGUGCUAACGUCCGUCGUGAAGAGGGAAACAACCCAGACCGCCAGCUAAGGUCCCAAAGUCAUGGUUAAGUGGGAAACGAUGUGGGAAGGCCCAGACAGCCAGGAUGUUGGCUUAGAAGCAGCCAUCAUUUAAAGAAAGCGUAAUAGCUCACUGGUCGAGUCGGCCUGCGCGGAAGAUGUAACGGGGCUAAACCAUGCACCGAAGCUGCGGCAGCGACACUGUGUGUUGUUGGGUAGGGGAGCGUUCUGUAAGCCUGUGAAGGUGUACUGUGAGGUAUGCUGGAGGUAUCAGAAGUGCGAAUGCUGACAUAAGUAACGAUAAAGCGGGUGAAAAGCCCGCUCGCCGGAAGACCAAGGGUUCCUGUCCAACGUUAAUCGGGGCAGGGUGAGUCGACCCCUAAGGCGAGGCCGAAAGGCGUAGUCGAUGGGAAACAGGUUAAUAUUCCUGUACUUGGUGUUACUGCGAAGGGGGGACGGAGAAGGCUAUGUUGGCCGGGCGACGGUUGUCCCGGUUUAAGCGUGUAGGCUGGUUUUCCAGGCAAAUCCGGAAAAUCAAGGCUGAGGCGUGAUGACGAGGCACUACGGUGCUGAAGCAACAAAUGCCCUGCUUCCAGGAAAAGCCUCUAAGCAUCAGGUAACAUCAAAUCGUACCCCAAACCGACACAGGUGGUCAGGUAGAGAAUACCAAGGCGCUUGAGAGAACUCGGGUGAAGGAACUAGGCAAAAUGGUGCCGUAACUUCGGGAGAAGGCACGCUGAUAUGUAGGUGAAGUCCCUCGCGGAUGGAGCUGAAAUCAGUCGAAGAUACCAGCUGGCUGCAACUGUUUAUUAAAAACACAGCACUGUGCAAACACGAAAGUGGACGUAUACGGUGUGACGCCUGCCCGGUGCCGGAAGGUUAAUUGAUGGGGUCAGCGCAAGCGAAGCUCUUGAUCGAAGCCCCGGUAAACGGCGGCCGUAACUAUAACGGUCCUAAGGUAGCGAAAUUCCUUGUCGGGUAAGUUCCGACCUGCACGAAUGGCGUAAUGAUGGCCAGGCUGUCUCCACCCGAGACUCAGUGAAAUUGAACUCGCUGUGAAGAUGCAGUGUACCCGCGGCAAGACGGAAAGACCCCGUGAACCUUUACUAUAGCUUGACACUGAACAUUGAGCCUUGAUGUGUAGGAUAGGUGGGAGGCUUUGAAGUGUGGACGCCAGUCUGCAUGGAGCCGACCUUGAAAUACCACCCUUUAAUGUUUGAUGUUCUAACGUGGACCCGUGAUCCGGGUUGCGGACAGUGUCUGGUGGGUAGUUUGACUGGGGCGGUCUCCUCCUAAAGAGUAACGGAGGAGCACGAAGGUUGGCUAAUCCUGGUCGGACAUCAGGAGGUUAGUGCAAUGGCAUAAGCCAGCUUGACUGCGAGCGUGACGGCGCGAGCAGGUGCGAAAGCAGGUCAUAGUGAUCCGGUGGUUCUGAAUGGAAGGGCCAUCGCUCAACGGAUAAAAGGUACUCCGGGGAUAACAGGCUGAUACCGCCCAAGAGUUCAUAUCGACGGCGGUGUUUGGCACCUCGAUGUCGGCUCAUCACAUCCUGGGGCUGAAGUAGGUCCCAAGGGUAUGGCUGUUCGCCAUUUAAAGUGGUACGCGAGCUGGGUUUAGAACGUCGUGAGACAGUUCGGUCCCUAUCUGCCGUGGGCGCUGGAGAACUGAGGGGGGCUGCUCCUAGUACGAGAGGACCGGAGUGGACGCAUCACUGGUGUUCGGGUUGUCAUGCCAAUGGCACUGCCCGGUAGCUAAAUGCGGAAGAGAUAAGUGCUGAAAGCAUCUAAGCACGAAACUUGCCCCGAGAUGAGUUCUCCCUGACCCUUUAAGGGUCCUGAAGGAACGUUGAAGACGACGACGUUGAUAGGCCGGGUGUGUAAGCGCAGCGAUGCGUUGAGCUAACCGGUACUAAUGAACCGUGAGGCUUAACCU